UACGGGGGGGGUAAGCGUUGUUCGGAAUUACUGGGCGUAAAGGGCUCGUAGGCGGCCAACUAAGUCAUACGUGAAAUCCCUCAGCUUAACUGGGGAACUGCGUGUGAUACUGGAUGGCUUGGAUUUGGGAGAGGGAUGCGGAAUUCCAGGUGUAGCGGUGAGAUGCGUAGAUAUCUGGAGGAACACCGGUGGCGAAGGCGGCAUCCUGGACCAAUAUUGACGCUGAGGAGCGAAAGCGUGGGGAGCGAACAGG
rnacentral:rRNA from 1 species